UGCCACAGGAGUCUCUACAGCGCAAUGGGACAAGGCCAUCCCUCCCCUACCUCGUGCCGACGCUGGGACAAUUGUGCGCCCCCUCGUGGGUCUAAUGGUCACGGCCGGGAAGGGUCUCGAACCAGCGUCUUUAGAAACGCAGUUUGCACUACGAUGCAGUGUCUUAGACCGCUGCGCCACUCGGGAAGUUCCAGCCACAAAGUUUUUAAUGCUUAUCAAUUGCCUUGCAAAAAGUAUCAAAAUGCUACACAGGACUCUUAAAGAAUUUAAUUUAAAUGUUAAUUGUAUUUUUUUAAUCACAGAAACAAUGAGGGGGGAAAUUAAAUAAAUAAUGAAAUGUUCAUUAUGUAUAGCAGCCUGUGUAAUCAUCUGCCAGGGAGCAGCCCCGAUCGGCCGAGCCCCAAGUAAAACAUUUGGGCCAGAUAACUCACUGGAAUUGUCCCGAGCCCCAAGUAAUAUAUUUGGGCCAGAUAACUCACACCGGAAUCAGCCCAAGCUCAAUCCCCGCAUCCUAGCCAUAAGUAAUACUGCUGAAGGUGGCCCAGACUCUGACUCUCAGCUGAGUGCCCCGACUCUCAUCUGGAAUUGGCCCAGAUCCACUGUGCUAGCUGGGUACAAAGUAUCAUCAGAAGAGGACUGAAGACUCAUGGAGACACCCCCACUACGAUACAAAACUGA
rnacentral:lncRNA from 1 species